rnacentral:rRNA from 1 species
UACGGAGGGUGCAAACGUUGCUCGGAAUCAUUGGGCGUAAAGCGCACGUAGGCGGCCUAUCAAGUCGGGCGUGAAAUCCCUGGGCUCAACCGAGGAACUGCGUCCGAUACUGGUUGGCUUGAAUCCGGGAGAGGGAUGUGGAAUUCCAGGUGUAGCGGUGAAAUGCGUAGAUAUCUGGAGGAACACCGGUGGCGAAGGCGGCAUCCUGGACUGGUCCUGACACUCAGGAGCGAAAGCGUGGGGAGCGAUCCGG